rnacentral:rRNA from 1 species
AUUCAAUAAGCGGAGGAAAAGAAACCAACAGGGAUUGCCUCAGUAACGGCGAGUGAAGCGGCAACAGCUCAAAUUUGAAAUCUGGCCUCGGCCCGAGUUGUAAUUUGUAGAGGAAGCUUUUGGUGCGGCACCGACCGAGUCCCCUGGAACGGGGCGCCAUAGAGGGUGAGAGCCCCGUAUGGUUGGACGCCUAUCCUCUGUAAAGCUCCUUCGACGAGUCGAGUAGUUUGGGAAUGCUGCUCAAAAUGGGAGGUAAAUUUCUUCUAAAGCUAAAUAUUGGCCAGAGACCGAUAGCGCACAAGUAGAGUGAUCGAAAGAUGAAAAGCACUUUGAAAAGAGGGUUAAAUAGCACGUGAAAUUGUUGAAAGGGAAGCGCUUGUGACCAGACUUGCGCCUCGUCGAUCAUCCGGGGUUCUCCCCGGUGCACUCGGCGGGGCUCAGGCCAGCAUCGGUUUUCGUGGGGGGACAAAGGCACCGGGAACGUAGCUCCUCCGGGAGUGUUAUAGCCCGGGGCGUAAUGCCCUCGCGGGGACCGAGGACCGCGCUUCGGCAAGGAUGCUGGCGUAAUGGUCAUCAGCGACCCGUCUUGAAACACGGACCAAGGAGUCAAGGUUUUGCGCGAGUGUUUGGGUGUAAAACCCGCACGCGUAAUGAAAGUGAACGUAGGUGAGAGCUUCGGCGCAUCAUCGACCGAUCCUGAUGUAUUCGGAUGGAUUUGAGUAGGAGCGUUAAGCCUUGGACCCGAAAGAUGGUGAACUAUGCUUGGAUAGGGUGAAGCCAGAGGAAACUCUGGUGGAGGCUCGCAGCGGUUCUGACGUGCAAAUCGAUCGUCAAAUCUGAGCAUGGGGGCGAAAGACUAAUCGAACCAUCUAGUACUGGUUCCGC